rnacentral:rRNA from 2 species
CUUGAAUAACUAUAAGAGGUCCAGCCUGCCCAGUGACUUUGUUCAACGGCCGCGGUAUCCUAACCGUGCGAAGGUAGCGUAAUCACUUGUCUUUUAAAUGGGGACUUGUAUGAAUGGCAUCACGAGGGUUAUACUGUCUCCUUUUUCUAAUCAGUGAAACUAAUCUUCCCGUGAAGAAGCGGGAAUAAACAUAUAAGACGAGAAGACCCUAUGGAGCUUUAAACUUAAUAACAAAUACUAAGCUUACAUCAACCUUCAGAAUAUUAACCUUAAUUUUAGUAUUAUGAUUAUUAGUUUUAGGUUGGGGUGACCGCGGAGUAAAAAUUAACCUCCACAUUGAACGGGACCUGUCCCUGAGCCAAGAACUACAGCUCGAAGCACCAACAAAUUGACAUUAAUUGACCCAAUAUUUUGAUCAACGAAC